UGAGAAAGAAGGGCGAAGGCUUCUAAGUUGUUGGUCUGUUUUGCGCAUAUUUGUUGCAAUUUAGAACUGUGUAUACCGGUUUUUGUACUUUUUAAAACUAAGUUAACGUUAUUGGCACGGGAAACGUAGUGUAAAGUUUGGUUUGAAGUAGUAUUAUUGAAAAAAAUACGUGUACAAAGUUGUAAGGUUUCAAAAUGGUGACGGACAAGCCAGAAGUGAAAUUACCUCAAUCUUCUUCUGUAAACUAUAUUUGAUUCUAAUAUUGAAUUGUGUUUGCGUUAAUAAAUUGAAACGAUGCUAAUAAACUGUAUAUUUUGUCUCCUUGUUUUAUAUAGUUUAUAUUUUGUGUGUUAUAUGCCUUUCGAAAAAAAAACGUGUAAGUUUCGCUCACAUUAGGUUACUUAAGUUUCCCUGUAUUCCAUAUUUAGUUUAUCUAGUAUAACAUUCAAAGCCAACAUAAGCUACCGAAUGUAGGUGUAAAAUUUAAUUUCAAGUCUGGUAAUUUGCUUAACACGUAUUUUUACUAAAUAAUCGUCCGUUUAAAAUUGUGUAUGCCAACAUUCUAUAAUACUGCUCCUGGUACUUUAUUACAGUGAUAUAGCAAAUUAGAUUCCAUGAUUUUUAAAAUAUGUGAACGUAAAACCAAAUUGUGAUGGAUUUUCCCAUUUAAUUGCAAUGUGACAGCGGUUCUCAAAAGAUGGGAGAUCAAAACUACUGCAUGAUCUUGCCCAAGGUGUGAAACAAUUUAUACAAUGAAGACAACAGUUGGUCGCAAUGAUUAAUCAAACUCAUUCGUCUUUCCUGAGUCUGCAUUUAUAGUGAAAUGAAGUUCAAUUUACAUUUAUAGAAUGUCGUCUCUGAAAAUUUAAACAUAAUUCCUAUUGAAAAUUUAAGAACAUAAAUCAUAUGUAUCUUGCAAUCUAACAAAGUGUUAUACACAUACUUGACAACAUUGUGAUAAUAUGCAAGUUCUAACAGUUUGAAGCAGUCAAUAAUAGUUACAUAUAUAUCAAAUGGCAAGAGCCUAUGGUGAUUAGUUGUGGCGUAACUCUUAAGUGGAAUGCAUUUAAUUGAAAAUACAGCUGUGAUGAACAAUUUAUUAUUAAGAGUAGUGGAACCGAUUGGUUCUCUAAACAACCUAGAAAUAACGGACGGACUUAAGACAAUGAUUUCUGAAAUACAGUUUGUUAAAGUGGAGUGAUUUGGAAGACCAGGUAUUUUUUGGAAUAAAUGAUUUAUUUAUUUUACUCCACACGUAUGGUGGUUUUAGAUGGUUGCUCUGGUCUGUGUUUUCUGUCAGCGGAAAUGGUGGAUGGCUUUUUUUAUCAUUAAUUCGGGUGCCAGUAUCGUCGUUUGACGCCUUUGUUUCGAGCCAGAUGUAUCACUGUAUCAGCGAUAAGUUACAAUGUUGUUUACUCAACUGCGUUUCGGGGCUAGUCAUCAAUACGUUAUCACCAAAGGAACGUUGUUUAUUCUGCCUAGUUGGCAGAUAAUCUUUGCACCGUAGCGUUACCAGCUGCUAUUUCUGCACCCUGCGUUGUAACGCGACUUUUGAGAAGAAGGCAAAACGAAGAAGGGCCGCGAGCUAGGUGACGUCACCAUCCGUCUGAUCUACUUUCUCUUACAAGCAAGCAAGAGAAGCGUUUGCUUUGCCGCUAUACGAUUUUGCCUGUUUUCUGCAUGCGAUUGAUGGGAGUUCACACUCGGCUAUUAUAAGAAGAAUUUUCAGGAAAAAUACAAGUAAAAUUCACAAGGUAGUUUCUUUUGGUGAUCGUUGGAGAUUUCUGAGCAAUCUGAAAAUCCGAAGUUUUUUCGCGGAGAAUCUGUGACGUAACAUCGCGUCGUCAUAAGUGUGACGUCAUCGUAAUGUGAGGUGACCAUGUACUUAAAUUAAAUAUCGUGUUACUGUUUUAACACAAAAUUCACUGUUUACAAUGCAGUUACAUGUACAAUUGUUUUUAUUACUUUGCAUUCUAAUAUUUGUGCAUUUUAAGCUUUAAAUCUGUUAUUUUUACAUUAAUAAUGGUAAACGUUUUUUUCCUUUUAGGUCAUAAAAACAUGAAUACAAAAAGAUCUACAUUAUUAUGAAACAUGCUAUUGACAUCGUGUGGUCAGAGCAGAGAACUCGUACACUUAUAAUAAUCGACACUUGAUUAAAGCAAUACUUUAAAUUGUAUUGCCCCAGCACAUUUGGUGCUGUGAAUUAAAGUGGUUAGGCGCUUGCAUCGUAAUUAUAACUGGUUUAAUGCUUAAUACUGAAAGGCGUAUCUCGCUUAUGUCUACUAGAACAAGACACCUUAAAAUACAUUACACUAACAUAGUGGUCACUAAACGAUUGAAGCUUCAUGGGUGUUGAGCUAUUGGGCCAAUGCUGCUCAAUGCUUGGGUCCCUUAGCAUCCCAUGCUACAAAACCUUAU